CCAUGUUGGCCAGGCUGGUCUUGAACUCCUGACCUCAGGUGAUCCACCCACCUUGGCCACCCAAAGUGCUGGGAUUAGAGGCAUGAGCCACUGCGCCUGGCCUAUGAUCGUCUGUUUAUAGCAAUAAAUGAUCUAGCCACAAGAUGUCCUCAUAAACUAAUAAUACACAUCGAGCAGGAAUAAGGUGUAAACUUAACCUCAUUCACACAUUUAUGUGAUUCUUUAUAGCAGGAAUUGGCAAUGUAAAAAAUGAAUGAAGUUUAAUCCCUGCUCUUAGCGGGUUCAGUGUCUAAAGGAGGAGACAGUACAUAAACUGCAGUGGAAGAAACUGUUGUAGACAGAAUAAAUACAGGUUUCUUGGAGUAAAGAUAUCUAACUUUUAAAAGUGUGUAUUUCCAGGGAAAAGACAUUAGGAAAGGCUUCCUGGAGAACGACGUCUGAGUCUUGAAGAAUAGGCAGGAGUUAUCCAGGUGAAGAUAAGGGAAAAAGCCAGGCAGUUGAAGAAAUAGAACUACAUACGAGCAGCUUGUAGACAGCAAAGACAUGACUGUAAGCUUCCUGAGCCCUCACCAGAAGCAAGCACCCCACUUCUUGUACAGCCUGCAGAAUUAUGGGAAACGUUCCCCCCAUCCCAAGGCAAAAACGCCCUUAAGAUGUAUUCUGGAGAAUAAGGACCAAUUUGACCGUCAGACGCUAAGAAAGAAUUGACUUAUAUUCUUCUGCAGUACCGCCUGGCCACGAUAUCCUCUUCAAGGGGGAGAAACCUGGCCUCCUGAGGGAAGUAUAAAUUAAAACACCAUCUUACAGCUAGACCUCUUCUGUAGAAAGGAGGGCAAAUGGAGUGAAGUGCCAUAUGUGCAAACUUUCUUUUCAUUAAGAGACAACUCACAAUUAUGUAAAAAGUGUGGUUUAUGCCCUACAGGAAGCCCACAGAGUCUACCUCCCUAUCCCAGCAUCCCCCCGACUCCUUCCCCAACUAAUAAGGACCCCCCUUUUACCCAAAGGUCCAAAGGAGGUAGACAAAGGGAUAAACAAUGAACCAAACAGUGCCAAUAUUCCCCGAUUACGCCCCCUCCAAGCAGUGGGAGGAGCAGAAUUCGGCCCAGCCAGAGUGCAUGUACCUUUUUCUCUCUCAGACUUAAAGCAAAUUAAAAUAGACCUAGGUAAAUUCUCAGAUAACCCUGAUGGCUAUACUGAUGUUUUACAAGGGUUAGGACAAUCUUUUGAUCUGACAUGGAGAGAUAUAAUGUUACUGCUAAAUCAGACACUAACCCCAAAUGAGAGAAGUGCCGCCAUAACUGCAGCCCGAGAGUUUGGUGAUCUCUGGUAUCUCAGUCAGGUCAAUGAUAGGAUGACAACAGAGGAAAGAGAACGAUUCCCCACAGGCCAGCAGGCAGUUCCCAGUGUAGACCCUCAUUGGGACACAGAAUCAGAACAUGGAAAUUGGUGCCGCAGACAUUUGCUAACUUGUGUGCUAGGACUAAGGAAAACUAGGAAGAAGCCUAUGAAUUAUUCAGUGAUGUCCACUAUAACACAGGGGAAGGAAGAAAAUCCUACUGCCUUUCUGGUGAGACUAAGGGAGGCACUGAGGAAGCAUACCUCUCUGUCACCUGACUCUAUUGAAGGCCAACUAAUCUUAAAGGAUAAGUUUAUCAGUCAGCUGCAGACAUUAGAAAAAAACUUUAAAAGUCCGCCUUAGGCCCGGAGCAAAACUUAGACCCUAUUGAACUUGGCAACCUCGGUUUUUUAUAAUAGAGAUCAGGAGGAGCAGGCAGAAUGGGACAAAUGGGAUAAAAAAAGGCCACCGCUUUAGUCCUGACCCUCAGGCAAGCCGACUUUGGAAGCUCUGGAAAAGGGAAAAGCUGGGCAAAUUGAAUGCCUAAUAGGGCUUGCUUCCAGUGUGGUCUACAAGGACACUUUAAAAAAGACUGUCCAAGUAGAAAUCAGCCGCCCCCUCGUCCAUGCCCCUUAUGUCAAGGGAAUCACUGGAAGGCCCAUUGCCCCAGGGGACGAAGGUCCUCUGAGUCAGAAGCCACUAACCAGAUGAUCCAGCAGCAGGACUGAGGGUGCCCGGGGCAAGCGCCAGCCCAUGCCAUCACACUCACAGGGCCCCGGGUAUGCUUGACCAUUGAGGGCCAGGAGGUUAACUGUCUCCUGGACACUGGCAUGGCCUUCUCAGUCUUACUCUCCUGUCCCAGACAACUGUCCUCCAGAUCUGUCAAUAUCCAAGGGGUCCUAGGACAGCCUAGAUACUUCUCCCAGCCACUAAGUUGUGACUGGGGAACUUUACUCUUUUCACAUGCUUUUCUAAUUACGCCUGAAAGCCCUACUCCCUUGUUAGGGAGAUAAAUUCUAGCAAAAGCAGGGGCCAUUAUAUAUCUGAACAUAGGAGAAGGAACACCUGUUUGUUGUCCCCUGCUUGAGGAAGGAAUUAAUCCUAAAGUCUGGGCAACAGAAGGACAAUAUGGAUGAGCAAAGAAUGCCCGUCCUAUUCAAGUUAAAGGAUUCCACCUCCUUUCCCUACCAAAGGCAGUGCCCCUUAGACCCGAGGCCCAACAAGGACUCCAAAAGAUCGUUAAGGACUUAAAAGCCCAAGGCCUAGUAAAACCAUGCAAUAGCCCCUGCAAUACUCCAAUUUUAGGAGUACAGAAACCCAACAGACAGUGGAGGUUAGUGCAAGAUCUCAGGAUUAUCAAUGAGGCUGUUCUUCCUCUAUACCCAGCUAUACCUAACCCUUGUCCUCUGCUUUCCCAAAAACCUCAGAAAGCAGAGUGGUUUACAGUCCUGGACCUUAAGGACGCCUUUUUCUGCAUCCCUGUACACCCUGACUCUCAAUUCUUGUUUGCCUUUGAAGACCCUUCGAACCCAACGUCUAAACUCACCUGGACUGUUUUACCCCAAGGGUUCAAGGAUAGCCCCCAUCUAUUUGGUCAGGCAUUAGCCCAAGACUUGAGCCAAUUCUCAUACCUGGACACUCUUGUCCUUCAGUACGGGGAUGAUUUAAUUUUAGCCACCCGAUCAGAAAUCUUGUGCCAUCAAGCCACCCAAGCACUCUUAAAUUUCCUUGCUACCUGUGGCUACAAGGUUUCCAAACAAAAGGCUCAGUUCUGCUCACAGCAGGUUAAAUACUAAGGGCUAAAAUUAUCCAAAGGCACCAGGGCCCUCAGUGAGGAAUGUAUCCAGCCUAUACUGGCUUAUCCUCACCCCAAAACCCUAAAGCAACUAAGAGGGUUCCUUGGCAUAACAAGCUUCUACCGAAUAUGGAUUCCCAGGUACAGCGAAAUAGCCAGGCCAUUAUACACACUAAUUAAGGAAACUCAGAAAGCCAAUACCCAUUUAGUAAGAUGGACACCUGAAGCAGAAGCGGCUUUCCAGGCCCUAAAGAAGGCCCUAACCCAAGCCCCAGUGGUAAGCUUGCCAAUGGGGCAAGACUUUUCUUUAUAUGUCACAAAAGAAACAGGAAUAGCUCUAGGAGUCCUUAUACAGGUCUGAGGGACCAGCUUGCAACCCGUGGCAUACCUGAGUAAGGAAAUUGACGUAGUGGCAAAGGGUUGGCCUCAUUGUUUACGGGUAGUGGCAGCAAUAGCAGUCUUAGUAUCUGAAACAGUUAAAAUAAUACAGGGAAGAGAUCUUACUGUGUGGACAUCUCAUGAUGUGAACGGCAUACUCACUGCUAAAGGAGACUUGUGGCUGUCAGACAACCGUUUACUUAAAUAUCAGGCUCUAUUACUUGAUGGGCCAGUGCUGUGACUGUGCACUUGUGCAACUCUUAACACAGCCACGUUUCUUCCAGACAAUGAAGAAAAGAUAGAACACAAAUGUUAACAAGUAAUUGCUCAAACUUAUGCUGCUCGAGGGGACCUUUUAGGGGUUCCCUUGACUGAUCCCAACCUCAACUUGUAUACUGAUGGAAGUUCCUUUGCAGAAAAAGGACUUUGAAAAGCGGGGUAUGCAGUGGUCAGUGAUAAUGGAAUACUUGAAAGUAAUCCCCUCACUCCAGGAACUAGUGCUCAGCUUGCAGAACUAAUAGCCCUCACUCGGGCACUAGAAUUAGGAGAAGGGAAAAGGGUAAAUAUAUAUACAGACUCUAAGUAUGCAUACCUAGUCCUCCAUGCCCAUGCAGCAAUAUAGAGAGAUGGGAGUUCCUAACUUCCGAGGGAACACCUAUCAAACAUCAGAAAGUCAUUAGGAGAUUACUAUUGGCUGUACAGAAACCUAAAGAGGUGGCAGUCUUACACUGCCAGGGUCACCAGAAAGGAAAGGAAAGGGAAAUAGAAAGGAACUGCCAAGCGGAUAUUGAAGCCUAAAGAGCGGCAAGGCAGGACCCUCCAUUAGAAAUGCUUAUAGAAGGACCCCCAGUCUUCUAUAAUUGUCCCUGUUUGUAGAUGACAUGAUUGUAUAUUUAGAAAACCCCAUCAUCUCAGCCCAAAAUCUCCUUGAGCUGAUAAGCAACUUCAGCAAAGUCUCAGGAUACAAAAUCAAUGUGCAAAAAUCACAAGCAUUCCUACACACCAGUAACAGAGAGCCAAAUCAUGAGUGAACUCCCAUUCACAAUUGCUUCAAAGAGAAUAAAAUACCUAGGAAUCCAACUUACAAGGGAUGUGAAGGACCUCUUCAAGGAGAACUACAAACCGCUGCUCAAUGAAAUAAAAGAGGACACAAACAAAUGGAAGAACAUUCCAUGCUCAUGGAUAGGAAGAAUCAAUAUCGUGAAAAUGGCCAUACUGCCCAAGGUAAUGUAUAGAUUCAAUGCCAUCCCCAUCAAGCUACCAAUGACUUUCUUCACAGAAAUGGAAAAAACUACUUUAAAGUUCAUAUGGAACCAAAAAAGAGCCUGCACUGCCAAGACAAUCCUAAGCCAAAAGAACAAAGCUGGAGGCAUCAUGCUACCUGACUUCAAACUAUACUACAAGACUACAGUAACCAAAACAGCAUGGUACUGGUACCAAAACAGAGAUAUAGACCAAUGGAACAGAACAGAGCCCUCAGAAAUAAUAUCACACAUCUACAACCAUCUGAUCUUUGACAAACCUGACAAAAACAAAAAAUGGGGAAAGGAUUCCCUUUUAAUAAAUGGUGCUGGGAAAACUGGCUAGCCAUAUGUAGAAAGCUGAAACUGGAUCCCUUCCUUACACCUUAUACAAAACUUAAUUCAAGAUGGAUUAAAGACUUAAAUGUUAGGCUUAAAACCAUAAAAACCCUAGAAGAAAACCUAGACAAUACCAUUCAGGACAUAGGCAUAGGCAAGGACUUCAUGUCUAAAACACCAAAAGCAAUGGCAACAAAAGCCAAAAUUGACAAAUGGGAUCUAAUUAAACUAAAGAGCUUCUGCACAGCAAAAGAAACUACCAUUAGAGUGAACAGGCAAACUACAGGAUGGGAGAAAAUUUUUACAAUCUACCCAUCUGACAAAGGGCUAAUAUCCAGAAUCUACAAAGAACUUCAACAAAUUUACAAGAAAAAAUCAAACAACCCCAUCAAAAAGUGGGCAAAGGAUAUGAACAGACAUUUCUCAAAAGAAGACAUUUAUGCAGCGAACAGACACAUGAAAAAAUGCUCACCAUCACUGGCCAUCAGAGAAAUGCAAAUCAAAACCACAAUGAGAUACCAUCUCACACCAGUUAGAAUGGCGAUCAUUAAAAAGUCAGGAAACAACAGGUGCUGGACAGGAUGUGGAGAAAUAGGAACACUUUUACACUGUUGGUGGGAUUGUAAACUAGUUCAACCAUUGUGGAAGACACUGUGGCGAUUCCUCAAGGAUCUAGACCUAGAAAUACCAUUUGACCCAGCAAUCCCAUUACUGGGUAUAUACCUAAAGGAUUAUAAAUCAUGCUGCUGUAAAGACACAUGCACAUGUAUGUUUACUGCAGCACUAUUCACAAUAGCAAAGACUUGGAACCAACCCAAAUGUCCAUCAAUGAUAGACUGGAUUAAGAAAAUGUGGCACAUAUACACCAUGAAAUACUAUGCAGCCAUAAAAAAGGAUGAGUUCAUGUCCUUUGUAGGGACAUGGAUGAAGCUGGAAACCAUCAUUCUCAGCAAACUAUUGCAAGGACACGAAACCAAAUACCGCAUGUUCUCACUCAUAGAUGGGAAUUGAACAAUGAGAACAUUUGGACACCGGGUGGGGAACAUCACACACCGGGGCCUGUCGUGGGGUGGGGGGAGGGGCGAGGGAUAGCAUUAGGAGAUAUACCUAAUGUAAAUGACGAGUUAAUGGGUGCAGCACACCAACAUGGCACAUGUAUACAUAUGUAACAAAACUGCACGUUGUGCACAUGUACCCUAGAACUUAAAGUAUAAUAAGAAAAUAAAAAAACAGUCACUCAGGGGCUGGGUGCACCGACUCAUGUCUGUAAUCCCAGCACUUUGGGAGGCCAAGGCAGUCAGAUCACUUGAGGUCAGGAGUUUGAGACUAGCUUGGCCAACAUGGUGAAACCCUGUCUCUACUAAAUAUACAAAAAAUAAAAAUUAGCUGGGCGUGGUGGCAGGCGCCUGUAAUCCCACCUACUCAGGAGGCUGACGCAGGAGAAUAACUUGAACACAGGAGGCAGACGCUGCACUGAGCUGAAAUCACGCAACUGCACUCCAGCCUGGGUGACAGAAUGAGACUCUAUCUCAAAAAAAAAAAAAAAAAAAAAUGGUGAACAAGUUCUGUCUAAUUCAAAGCUCAUUUAGGCCAGGGGCGGCGGCUCAAGCCUGCAGUCCCAGCACUUUGGGGGGCCAUGGCAUGCAGAUUACUUGAAGUUAGUUCAAGACCAGCCUGAUCAACAUGGUGAAAUGGUGAAACCCUGUGCCUACUAUAAAUACAAAAUUAGUUGGGCAUUGUGGUGCACCUGUAAUCCCAGCUACUCAAGAGGCUGAGGCAGGAGAAUCACUUGAACCCAGGAGGCAGAGGUUGCAGUGAGCCAAGAUCGGGCCAUUGCGUUCCAGCCUGGGUGCCAGAGCAAGACUCUGUCUCAGAUAAAAAACAAACAAACCCCACAAAACUUAUUUAAAGGUUACGUAUACAACAAGGUAAAGGAAUCAGGAAAUGAGAUGUUGUAAAGGAAGUUAUAAAACAUAAUUUUUUUGUGUGUGUGGUAAGAAAGCUUAAAAGAGAAAUAAUUUUAUAUGAGAAAGAAUACUGUAUGGUAAAUUUAGUCCUAAGAUAAAAGUUCAAGCAUGUCAUGAAUGGUCUGUGUAAGUCACAAUAAGAGGAUUUGUUUUAAAAAAAAUUGUAUAUGAUCAUGUUGUUUACAAUUAAAAGGAAAUUAUAAUGCUCUUUCUAGAGACUGGGCUUUAUGUUAAAAAACAAAGACACAUAUACACUAAAUUAUUGGUUAGAAAAAUAAAAUUUUCUUAAGAGGUUAACUUCCUCUUAAUAAAUUAUAAGAGAAUUUGCCUGCGAAUGGUGGCUUCUGCCUGUAAUCCCAGCACUUUGGGAGGCCAAGACAGGCGGAUCACUUGAGGUCAGGAGUUGUAGACCAGCCUGGCCAACGUAGUGACACCUUGUCUCUAACAAAAAUACAAAAAUUAGCCAGGCCUGGUGGCAUGUGCCUGUAGUCCCAGCUACUUGGCAGGCUGAGGCACAAGAAUUGCUUGAACCCGAGAGGCAGAGGCUGCAGUGAGCCGAGAUUGCACCAGUGCACUCCAAACUGGGCAACAGAGCGAGACUCUAUCUCAAAAAAAAAAUUUAUAAGAUAAUUUAAUAUUUUUUUUAAAACUGAAAGUUCAAUUUUUAUUGCAUCUUGCCAUUUUUUUUUCAGCUUUCUCUCCCCUUUAAAAAGGCACGUUGUCUUAAAGGUCUAAAGGAAGUGUUUUCUUCCAACAUCAUGUUCUGUGCAUUGCAGAAGGUCUUUUCUUUUGCUUUUUGGUAACUGACCUAACAGAGUUUACAUUUUGUUGAAAUAAUUCCUAUGUUUAGGAAAAAACUGAGAUUAGAAAAAAUUUUAAUUAACAUGAUUACAGCUGGGUAUUUUCCUGUAUGUGCUUUUAAAGUCUUUGUGACAUAAGGUUACAGGGCUUUGACUCCUGGGUCUAAAAAGGACACCAAGUCCUCCUAAAUCUUAAACACUGACAGCAACUGAAGCUGUCAUCUUCAGGCUCCGUAGAAGAUGCCAAUCAAAAUAAACUGCAUUCCUGAGAUACAGGGCCAGAAAUUAAAGGCAUUCAACUCCUCAAGGCCCAGAGACUAUCGAAGAAGAGGUGAGCACGUGAGACUGUAAGGUCCAAAUUUGAAAGAUAAAAUAAGUUCAGUUUCUCUAUAAAUUAAUGAUUAAUGUCAAAGGCACAAUGAUGCAAGAUCAGCUUAUGGGCCCCUGUAAUCAGAUUAACAAGGUUUUCUUGACACAUUAACUGACUCCUUAAUAAAGGUUAUAAAGGCUUAUGGAAGUUAUAUCUUUUGUUUUCUUUUUUUUUUUUUUGAGAUGGAGUCUCGCCCUGUCACCCAGGCUGGAACCACAGUGGCUCAAUCUCAGCUCACUGUAACCUCCGCCUCCUGGCUUCAAGCGAUUCUCCUGCCUCAGCCUCCCGAGUAGCUGGGACUACAGAUGCGUGCCACCACGCUCGGCUAAUUUUUUUUAGUAGAGGAGGGGUUUAACCAUGUUGGCCAGGAUGGUCUUGAUCUCCUGACCACCUGAUCCACCCACCUCGGCCUCCCAAAGUGCUGGGAUUAUAGGUGUGAGCCACCACGCCCAGUUAGAAGUUACAUCUUAUGGUCAAGUUUAAAAUUUUAUAGAUUGUUUAUAAAAUUUUGAAAACAAAUUUAAUUAGCUUCAUGCUGUUUUUAUUAGGGCUUAUUGUUUGGAAAGUUAAGUCUCCUCUCUCAAAGAAUGAAGGUUUUCACCUUUUUAUGAAAUCCUUGUUAUCACUUUGGUUAAAUGAAUGAUUUAUUUUAUAAUGACCUGUGAUCCUAUUUUUGUGAUAUCAGGUGUUUUAAACAUUUGAUAUUUGACAAACUUUCCAAAAUCAAAUUAUAAAUUAUGUCUUUCUGACCUAAUUAGUCCUUUAAGAUAUUAGGUUCCCUAAAGUCCAAAAAUGGCAUAAUUUGGCUUAUUUGGUACAAAAAUUACACAGGAAGCACUGUCGAAUAUGUGACAGUGUUUGGCUUUGAGAUGUAUUUGUAUAAAUAUGUUAUUGGUAUGUGUUCCAAAACUAUGGGAAAUUCCUGUAAUUCUGAUAUGACCUAGUGUACAUUAUCAGUAAUAAUCAUAAUUGUUACGUUAAAAUUAUUGUGUGCUACAGAGGAGAGGUAACAAAUUUCCUUGUCAAUUGUGUCUUUGACUAUGGCGGCCCUAAAACUUUAAUCAUCCAGGCACAAUUGUUGUGUUGUUUUGAUCCUCUUUAGAAAGUGCUUUUUUUUGUUGUUGCUGUUGUUGUUUUUUGAGAUUCAUUAAGUGUUUUAUUCUUGAUAAUGUUUUAUUUGUUAAAUUUGUUUUUUGUAAUUAUACUUUAAGUUCUAGGGUACAUGUGCACAAUGUGCAGGUUUGUUAUGUAUACAUGUGCCAUGUUGGUUUGCUGCACCCAUUAAUUCGUCAUUUACAUUAGGUGUUUCUCCUAGUGCUAUCCCUCCCCCAUCCACCCACCCCACGACAGGCCCCGGUGUGUGAUGUUCCCCGCCCUGUGUCCAAAUGUUCUCAUUGUUCAAUUCCCAACUAUGAGUGAGAACAUGUGGUGUUUGGUUUUCUGUCCUUGUGAUAGUUUGCUGAGAAUGAUGGUUUCCAGCUUCAUCCAUGUCCCUACAAAGGACAUGAACUCAUCCUUUUUUAUGGCUGCAUAGUAUUCCAUGGUGUAUAUGUGUCAUUUUUUCUUAAUCCAGUCUAUCAUUGAUGGACAUUUGGGUUGGUUCCAAGUCUUUGCUAUGGUGAAUAGUGCUGCAAUAAACAUACGUGUGCAUGUGUCUUUAUCGUAGCAUGAUUUAUAAUCCUUUGGGUAUAUACCCAGUAAUGGGAUUGCUGGGUCAAAUGGUAUUUCUAGUUCUGGAUCCUUGAGGAAUCGCCACAGUGUCUUCCACAAUGGUUGACCUAGUUUACACUCCCACCAACAGUAUAAAAACAUAACUAUUCCUCCACAUCCUCUCCAGCACCUGUUGUUUCCUCUUGAAUGCAGGUCUCCAAUAACUUUGGAGAUUGUUACAUGAGAAUAGAGGAAAAACUUUCAGAACUCAUGGAGAGCUAAAAUGCUCAUGAAUAUCAAGCAGAAUAGGAAUUAACUACAGGGACUGAACUAAUCUUUUUGACUUUUUGCUUAAAACAUUGCUGAUCUUUUGCUUUGUUUUUCAGAGCCUUGAAACUUCUUUUGAGCUAUUGACAGCUUUUAACAAUUUAGUAUAAUCCAAUCAACAAAAUUUGGAGCAUAUUUGUUUCUCUCUACUUGAUUUCUCCAGAAUUUGUAAACUAUUUGUGUCACUGAAAACAGCUGUGCUUUUGUAAACCCCUGCAAACUGAAGCUAGACAACUUAAACUUCAGAAGAAAAUAACAGCAACCUAUUUACACACAUAAGCCACUUUCACACCUGCGUACUGAUGUAUGGACUUCAGAAUAAUGUGGCCUAUGUAUAUUUUCCAGGAUUGUUCUUUUGUUUGUUGUUUUCACCCUUCCUCCCCCUAUUUUCUCUUCACAGGACAUGGGAGUUCACAGCCGUCUAAAAAUUAGCUUUCUUAAUAACUUGGGACUUACCUGUCUAGGAAUAAACCAUCCUAGCAUGAGAGAUCAGAUGAAAUCUGGGACCAAAGACUCGUUUUUCUUCCAAAAAGCUUUCUCCAAAAAUUUUUUUUUAAAAAAAGAAAAGGGGGCAAAUGUAAAGGAAAAUAUCUUGGGCCCCCAAAUCACUAAGUUAAAAGGAAAAUUCAAGCUAGGAACUGCUUAGGGCAAACCUGCCUCCCAUUCUAUUCAAAGUCAUCCCUCUGCUCACUGAGAUAAAUGUGUAUCUGACUGCCUCCUUAGGAAGGGUAAAUCAGAAACUCAAAAGAAUGCAACCAUUUGUCUCCCACCUACCCGUGACCUGGAAGCCCCCUUCCCGCUUCAAGUUGUCCUGCCUUUCCAAACCCAACCAGUGUUCAUUUUACAUAUAUUGAUUGAUGUCUUAUAUCUCCCUAAAAUGUAUAAAACCAAGCUGUGUUCUGACCACCUUGGGCACAUGUUGUCAGGACCUCCUGAGGCUGUGUCACUGCAUGCGUAUCCUCAACCUUGGCAAAAUAAACUUUCUAA